AUUGAACGCUGGCGGCAGGCCUAACACAUGCAAGUCGAGCGGAGCGGCGGACGGGUGGGUAAUGACUAGGAAUCUGCCUGGUGGUGGGGGAUAACGUCCGGAAAGGGGCGCUAAUACCGCAUGCUAUCAGAGGAGCCUAGGUUGGAUUAGAUAGGUGGUGGGGUAAAGGCCUACCAAGGCGACGAUCCGUAGCUGGUCUGAGAGGAUGAUCAGUCACACUGGAACUGAGACACGGUCCAGACUCCUACGGGAGGCAGCAGUGGGGAAUAUUGGACAAUGGGCGAAAACCUGAUCCAGCCAUGCCGCGUGUGUGAAGAAGGUCUUCGGAUUGUAAAGCACUUUAAGUUGGGAGGCGUUACCAACAGAAUAAGCACCGGCUAACUUCGUGCCAGCAGCCGCGGUAAUAC
rnacentral:rRNA from 1 species